UACGAAGGGGGCUAGCGUUGCUCGGAAUUACUGGGCGUAAAGGGCGCGUAGGCGGGUCGUUAAGUUGGGGGUGAAAGCCCAGGGCUCAGCCCUGGAAUUGCCUUCAAUACUGGCGACCUUGAGUAUGGCAGAGGUGUGUGGAACUCCGAGUGUAGAGGUGAAAUUCGUAGAUAUUCGGAAGAACACCAGUGGCGAAGGCGACACACUGGGCCAUUACUGACGCUGAGGCGCGAAAGCGUGGGGAGCAAACAGG
rnacentral:rRNA from 1 species